UACGUAGGUGGCGAGCGUUGUCCGGAUUUACUGGGCGUAAAGGGCGUGCAGGCGGUUUGUUAAGUGCAGGGUGAAAGCUCCCGGCUCAACUGGGAGAGGUCCUUGCAUACUGGCGAACUCGAGGGAGGCAGAGGAAAGUGGAAUUCCCGGUGUAGUGGUGAUAUGCGUAGAUAUCGGGAGGAACACCUGUGGCGAAGGCGGCGUUUCUUGGGCCUUACCUGACGCUGAGACGCGGAAAGCGUGGGGAGCGAACAGG
rnacentral:rRNA from 1 species